AUCUCAUACACUGGCCAAUUAAUAUUCGUCAUACACUAGACAAGAGUCGACAUACCAUUUCCCUGUCCGAUAUCAUGUGCUAAACUUUGAUUCAUGGGAAGAGACAGCUGAGUUGGGAACAUGUAAGGUUUUGAUUAGUUCUCUCCUUGUAAAGUGAUGAGAACGAGAAGGUGAGACAUUUGUUAGCAUUAGUGGUUUAACAUUGAAGGAUAGUUCAAAUCCACAACUAGCUUUGCUUCCUUUACAUCCUGAUAUUCAGAUGGAUCGAUACUGGAGACAAUAACUAACCACCUCCCUUGAUGCUCACUUGGUAAUUUCUGUCAUGUCUAUAUGUGGACUCGUGUACAACCUGCAUAUGCUGCUAAUAUGUGGAACGAUGCACUCAAUAAACAGCUCGUUACUCAGAAACAAUGAGGCGUGAAAUGUCAUUUGAUGAGCUACUUACCAUCCGUGAACAGGACGAGUAACAACAACACGUGUUGCUUUCAUCCUUGCAAUGUACAAAACCACUGGUGCAUUCGGCCCUCUCGCUGAUCACAUUCAAGGUCCUCUUAAGUGUUAGGAAAAAUUAUUCAACCUGUUUGUCUCUGUAUCUCUACUUGUGUUUUGUCUACUUCAUGUUUACUUAUUUAUCAAGCUUUACCUUUUUAGUUAUAAGGGAAGAAAACCACGUUUUAGAACAAAUCUAUGUAAUUAUGUGAUGAUAUUUUAUAAUAUAAUAUUGGUUAAAAUA